GAUGAACGCUGGCGGCGUGCCUAAUACAUGCAAGUCGAGCGAACAGACGAGGCGCUUGCUCCUCUGACGUUAGCGGCGGACGGGUGAGUAACACGUGGAUAGCCUACCUAUAAGCCUGGGAUAACUGCGGGACACCGGAGCUCAUACCGGAUAAUCUCUUGAACCUCAUGGUUCCAUAGUGAAAGACGGUUUUGCUGAAUCUUAUCGCUGGAUCCGCGUCGCAUUAGCUAGUUGGUAAGGUAACGGCUUACCAAGGCAACGAUCCGUGGCCGACCUGAGAGGGUGAUCGCCCACCCGGGAACGGAGACACGGUCCAGACUCCUAGGGGAGGCAGCAGUAGGGAAUCUCCCGCAAGGGGCGAAGGCCUGACGGGGCAACGCCGCGUGGGGGAUGAAGGUCUUCGGAUCGUAAAACUCUGUGAUUAGGGAGGAACAAAGGUGGAAGUAACUAUGCACGUCGUGACGGUACCUAAUCAGAAAGCCACGGCUAACUACGUG
rnacentral:rRNA from 1 species